UCACACCAGCGAUGCAAACCUGGCUUUAGCAGAAAGCAGCAGACAAGUGCAUGACCUCAAGGUCGUCCUGACCGUGGACUUCCUGUUUUAUGACGAGCAUCUCCUCGAUUCCAACUGCAAUGAUAAAUCAUGGAGUUUGAUCCAGAAUCGUCUUGGACGUUCCAACCAACUGAUUGGCUUUCAAAACUUCGGAGAAUGGUUGAAUAAUUAUGUGACAACAACAAAGCUGAAGAUUUUGGGUGUAAUUCUCUUUAUUGAGAUCGUUGUGCUGGUGAUUAUUGUAUUGGUUCGUAAAAACAACCAGGUGGAGUGUUGAUCUCCAGAAAAACCGUAAAGUCAAUAUUAUUCAGAUACAGACGUUUGGAUAUUUAUUCACAUUUGUUCUAUAUAAAGGCAUAAUUAUAAACACAGAGUAAGAGGUAAUUAGUAUGUUUAUUGUAAAAUGUUUUGGGGCAACUGUGAGCAUGUUUUAAAUACCUUUUUUAUUUCUUAAAUGGGAUUAUUGUCUUUGUUCUCUAAAAAAGUUUCAGAUGAUAAACGAUUUAAUUUACCAAGAAGAAGCCUGAAAGCUGUCUCUCUGCUGCUUAGGUGAAGCUUCAAUAAAGAGUUUUAUUGUAAAUAAAUGUUGCAUUGUUAUACA